UGCUCUAAUGUUGGCAGGUGAUGAAUGGCCAAGUGGUAGUUAUGGUCUUCCUAGAUCUAAAUCAGGAUGUCCAGGUGGUAAGGAGAAUGGGUGGCGUGAGGGCUGGAGGUUGCAGGAAAUGGAAAACAGUGGUAAGAGUAGCAGUGAGCGGUCAAGAGUAUCUAGUGGCUCACAUAUGGAUGUCACAUUAGUUGGAAAUAAAAAAGAUGUAAACAGGACAUUCUGCAUGAAACAAAAUACUGGAACACAAACAAGGUUUUGGCCUAAAGGUAAGGUUCUCUAUAUGCAUACAUGGACUACCUUAUGAUACAGCCAUGCAUAUGUUACAGUAUGAACUCCAGGGAUUCUGCAAGAGACAUUUCGAUACAAAUGGAUGACUGAAUGGCAUGGAGGAGAACAGAACAAUGGGAUUUUCAAAACAAUGAAAACACAAUGUCAUUGAAACUUUCCGACCACCCUGGGCUGUGAUCUGACAAAUUUUCGUAUGCUCUUGCUAAGUGUUCUUUACAGAAUAUCAUCAUAACUAAAGCUUCACAAUAUUCACUGCAGUCGUUACUGUCAAAAAAUGAACAAAACCUCUAGCCCUCAUGCUACCAGAAUGAUGCAUGCCGUUCCUCAUGUCUUCAGAAUAAUUUUAUAAUAAUAUCUCCAUUCCUCAUGCCAUCAGAAUAAUUCUAUAAUAUCUCCAUUCCUCAUGCCGUCAGAAUGUGUUUUUUUUAAAUCAAAAUGAUUUCUUUAUGUUGUAUACGUUUUUUGAAUGAUUUCCCCUUGAAAUGUAUUUUUGUUUUGACAGGUUCAUAUUGUAUUUACAAGAAUGGAACGUGUCCGAAAGAUAUGGCAUCAGGCUGGGUGGAAUGGGAUGAUGAAGAUAAUGACAACGGAAAUAGUCACGGAGGAUUUCUACCAGAUGGUUCAUAUGAUCAUAAUACCCUGAUAUAUUAUUGUUGUCAAACUGAUGGUCACUGGUAUGAUUCCAUUGAACUGCCAGUCAGUCAACCAUUUUAUUUAUUAACAUCUAACUCUACUGACACUCCUAAAUGUCAGAUGGUGAAGUGGGCAUUUAGUUACUUGGAGUAUAUUGUGUUUGAUACAGAAGAUGACAGGAAUAGAGAUGCCCAGGGUGGGGAACAUUUGUUUUCAGAUGGAGAUAAGAAAUACUAUUGUUACUAUGAAG